rnacentral:rRNA from 1 species
AUUGAACGCUGGCGGCAUGCCUUACACAUGCAAGUCGAACGGCAGCGGACCUUCGGGUGCCGGCGAGUGGCGAACGGGUGAGUAAUAUAUCGGAACGUACCUUUCAGUGGGGGAUAACGUAGCGAAAGUUACGCUAAUACCGCAUAUUCUGUGAGCAGGAAAGCAGGGGAUCGCAAGACCUUGCGCUGAUUGAGCGGCCGAUAUCAGAUUAGCUAGUUGGUGAGGUAAAGGCUCACCAAGGCGACGAUCUGUAGCGGGUCUGAGAGGAUGAUCCGCCACACUGGAACUGAAACACGGUCCAGACUCCUACGGGAGGCAGCAGUGGGGAAUUUUGGACAAUGGGCGCAAGCCUGAUCCAGCCAUGCCGCGUGAGUGAAGAAGGCC